rnacentral:rRNA from 1 species
CAGUCGCCACGGUAAUACGUAGGGUGCGAGCGUUAAUCGGAAUUACUGGGCGUAAAGCGUGCGCAGGCGGUUAUAUAAGACAGAUGUGAAAUCCCCGGGCUCAACCUGGGACCUGCAUUUGUGACUGUAUAGCUAGAGUACGGUAGAGGGGGAUGGAAUUCCGCGUGUAGCAGUGAAAUGCGUAGAUAUGCGGAGGAACACCGAUGGCGAAGGCAAUCCCCUGGACCUGUACCGACGCUCAUGCACGAAAGCGUGGGGAGCAAACAGGAUUAGAUACCCCAGUAGUCCCUGUCUCUUAUAA